CCUACGGGAGGCAGCAGUGGGGAAUUUUGGACAAUGGGCGAAAGCCUGAUCCAGCCAUGCCGCGUGAGUGAAGAAGGCCUUCGGGUUGUAAAGCUCUUUCAGCCGGAAAGAAAUCGCGCAGGCUAAUACUCUGCGUGGAUGACGGUACCGGAAGAAGAAGCACCGGCUAACUACGUGCCAGCAGCCGCGGUAAUACGUAGGGUGCGAGCGUUAAUCGGAAUUACUGGGCGUAAAGCGUGCGCAGGCGGUUAUAUAAGACAGAUGUGAAAUCCCCGGGCUCAACCUGGGAACUGCGUUUGUGACUGUAUGACUAGAGUACGGCAGAGGGAGGUGGAAUUCCGCGUGUAGCAGUGAAAUGCGUAGAUAUGCGGAGGAACACCGAUGGCGAAGGCAGCCUCCUGGGCCAGUACUGACGCUCAUGCACGAAAGCGUGGGGAGCAAACAGGAUUAGAUACCCUGGUAGUCCACGCCCUAAAACGAUGUCAACUAGUUGUUCGGUGAGGAGACUCAUUGAGUAACGCAGCUAACGCGUGAAGUUGACCGCGUGGGGAGUACGGCCGCGAAAGGUUAAAACUUAAAGGAAGUUGACGGNUAGAGACGAGCGAGGACGACGACGAGGGGAGGAGG
rnacentral:rRNA from 1 species